CUCACUGCAGAACCCAGCAGAGGGGAUCUCCAGCAGAGAUCCUUCCCCGCCGGCAGUCAGCUCUUAAAUGGGCCUGGGAGGGGGGCAGCCAGGCUCCAGCCCUCCUGCAGCAGUGAAUCGCCUUCACCUGUGCCCCAGGGCCGACCCAGCGCCGGCCUCAGGUGGUCAAUCAGGGGUUCAGGCCGCGGUUCUGCAGUGCCCACACACCUGUGCUGUGCCUCUCCUGCAGUGCGCGGCGCAGGGAAGGCAGGGUGCUGAGCUAAAAGAAAGGUUCACUCGGCUCAGUUUUGACCGCUCUUAUGGUCUUUUUCAAUCUAGUACUGGAAUAUUUUGGUGGAAGCACGGUGAUGAUCCAAGCCCAUACCCUGUCCAAUUUUACCUCAAGAAUGAGAGAAUAAUCGAAGGUAGCUGAAGCUCAGUUAUCUUGAUGUAUCUGUGGUAAGGAUCUGCACAACCUACAGAUUUUCUUCUUGCAUUUUCCCCUAACUGAAAAGCUCAUAGCUUUUCAUCCAAGCUUUCUCUCUUGUACGAGAGUUUUAAGUAUGAACGUGUGAAGAGUACUUCAAGACCUGAAUUAUCUACUCUGGUCUUUUUCUAUUUCAAGAAGCUACAAAAAUUACCUAGCAGCAGGAACUCAUCAUCUGAUAGUCUGAAGCAUGUAUGCUAAAUCCUCUCUUAUAAUUACAUGGAUAACUGGAACAAAUUAGCACUAACAUUAGUAAGGUAGGGUUUUUCUAGGGGCUGAGGAUCUUUUUCUUUCUAUUGUGAAAAUUCAAAUAUUUCAAAAAUUUUAAAAUAAUAAGAACACAUUAUUAAUCUCUGCGCUUUUAUCCUUCAUUCCCAUGGACUUAUUUUAUAUUGACGGCUGCCAAAUAGCGCAAAAAAGAAUUGUGGUGAUGAGGACAGUGAGCAGGACCAGCAUAAUGAGGAAGGCUCACAACUUCCUUGUAACGGCAGCACAGUGUGCGUGUGCUUGUCAACAAAUACACACAGCUUGUGAAACAAGCAGAUGGAAUCCAAAGUCAGCAGUGCUAGAAUCCAGUACAAAUCCAGUUGCAGCACUACUAUUUCUUGGAUAACCAAAACAUCAUGGGAGAGCUUCUAUGACUGGCAUGUGAUGUCUUGGAAGGCAACGAGAACCAGCUGCACACUACACAAAGGCCUCAUCUAGAAGGUGAGCGUUGCGCUAAAGCAGCUGACACUGUGGGAUGCAUCUCCUACAAACCAGCUGAUCAAGGAGAAGACAGAGCCUGUGAAACAUCUUUAAAAUGCUCCACUGUAGCAGACCCUCAUACUUAUGGAGGACUUUAACCACCAUGACAUCUGCCUACGGACAGCACGAGGCAUAAGCACUAAGGAGAUUUCUGGGUUGGAUUGAUGACAACUUCUUAACGCAGGUGAUGAUGUCCUUUGCUGAACCGAUUACAAACAAACAAGGAAGAACUGGUUGUGGAUACGAAGAUUAAAGGCAGCCCCGGCUGCAGAAAAAGAAUGAGAUAGUGGAGUUUGGGAUGCUCUGAAAGAGAGCAAGACCAGGACCUCAGAAGAGCAGCUUUUGGCAUAUUCACGUAUUUGCUCAGAAGGAUUCCAUGAGAUGACAGGGAUCCCCAAAGGACAAAGGAGCUCAGGGGAGGUGGGCUGACCUUCAAGGACAGUCUUUUCAAAGCACAGGGGAACAAUCCAGACCAGUGUGCACAGUUGAGAAGGCCUGGCAAAAGAUGAGCAAAGUUAAUCAGGGAAUUCCUGAAUGGUAUCUAAUGCAAAAACAAAAACAAAAACAAAAAAGAACGAUGGAGGUGGGAGCCAGAUCUCGCAGCUUCUCUUGGUAGACGUGCUCCACCCUGGCCCACGUGGCCCACUGUGGGCUUCACUCCAGUUUCUUUCUGGCCUGUGUCCAGAAGUUCAGGUGCAGUCUCACAGGUAGGGCAUAGCAGGGAAUAGCCUCUUUCCUUGACAGGAUGGCAUCGCUCAGGCUGACACAGCCCAGCAUAAUACAGCACGCACAUCAACUGCCUCCUCCAGGUCAGUGACAAAGGUGCUUAACAGAACAGCUGCUAAGACAGAUCCCUGUGAUACUUGGCUUAUCCCUGUCUUCCACAAUGGGUUGCGUGACCCAUUGGACAUUAUUCUCUAAGAACAAUCAUCCAACUGUAUUUUAACUUGUAUGGUUGUCCACCUAACUACACCAGAACGUAUCAACUUGAAUAUGAGAAUAUAAUGGGGAAAAGUGAAAAAUUUGCAAAAGCCAAGAUAAAUGAAAUCCAUCCACUACCAUCUCUUGGUCACUGAUCCAAUUCCACUUCAUUAUUUCAUCUUUGCUACUGCUAAGAUUGCCAUUUCUUCCUUAUGAACAAAUAGCAGAUCCAGACGUCUCACUUCAUCCUGGCACAGGUGGAGAAAAAGGGGACAACAGUCAUGCAGUAACCACAAAACAACAGGACAGCUAUCACAGUAUGAGAGCAGAGCAGAGGAAUCCCUUGCAGUGGCCAGUGAACAGCAGCAGGAGCUGACUGUUUAUAAAGGAGAAUGAAGAAGAGAGGAUUAAAAAGGACAGCUGCAUCAAAACCCAUCAACACAGCUAGACAAGAAGUUCUCUGAAGAAUCUGGGAAGCACUGAGAAAGACAGUAACUAACAGUGAGCAGUGAGAUGAGGGAGGCAUAGUUUCCUGUUCUAAAGUUGCACUCCACUCAGCAAGCUAAAUAGGGAAAAGAGAUGCACAGCUGUGGAGACAGAAGAAUUUUCAGUGGAGCUUGUUGCAUCAGAGUGAGUAGGCAUAAAAGCUGAAGAACAGAACAGUGAAUCACAGUGACAGUGUCUGGAGAAGUACGUAAUGAUUCCCAACUAAGGAAAAGACAGACAGUGACCAGAAGUAAUGAGCAGACGUGGCCGGAAGGAAGGCAGAAGAGCCGUGGGAUGUGUGGUCGUUUCCCAAAGGGCAGCUUGUGGCCGGAGCUCAAAACUGAAGCGCCUUAUAGACUCAGGUCACAAAGGCCACGUCAGCUGGUGAUACCUGCACACGCCUCUAUGAAUGAAGAUGCCUACGAACUGCUCUGAAAAUGAAUGAGGGUAUUAAUGACCUGAGAAAAAAGAAAGGAUCCAGAUGUAAAGAAAACACGAUAUGACAUAUGCUGUGGCACAGAACUGUAAUCAACGUUGAACACACGAAAAAAAACCUCCAAACCUUGUUACAUUACAGUAUGUCAGCCUACACUUCAUGAAGUCUCUUUCUGUUCGUUAAAAUUGCAUUUUAGACAAAAGGUACUCAGCAGAUGCAGUCUACUUCAUUUAAGUAAAGCAUUUAACAUGCAGUCAUAAAGAGAAGAGCUAUUAAGACUGAAAAGGUGGGCAUUAGAACAAAAAUGAUGUGGUAAAGAAGUGGCAUGGAAAAAAAAAAUAA